GUAAAAAUGACGUUGCUGCUGGGGUUGAAGAUAAAACGCUGGUGCACACGGACUACGGCUUCUGGACACAUGCCCACACGAUUGGGUGCUCUACUGUACGAGCUGAGUUCCGCAGUUAAAAAUGCAACAAACGGAGAAGGUUUCUUGUCAGUGAGCGAAGACAUUAUGCGACCAGAAGUAUUCGUCACAGACGGUAAACUUGGUAUGGACAUACCGGAUUUCGGUAAUGUUGAAAGUGUACUCCGGCAGUCGCUGGGAGUCGAGUCGGCAAAGGCUCUCCGAGAUGACAUCUAAAAGACUCACGUGUAAAUUCAAAAGUACACCGCUGCGGAAGGCGGUAAACCUUGGGUGCAGUGGCCGUACGAUAAGAACUCCCUAGAUCAGGUGGCUGCCUCGAAGUAUAAUGUUUUCAUGUUCCCACUGCCUGGCGUUCCUGUUGUCACACUGGACGUUCUUAACUACAGCAACGUGAGCCAAGCACUGAUCGGUCAUCUGGAGAAGUAUCGUGCCUCACCAUCCUAUCAGCAUGGAACUAUUUACACCGACACUAACGGAACCUCCGUUGGAUACACUCGAGAUGGGUAAGUACAGCACUGUGUAACCAACUAACAACCAUUUCAUUGUUGUGCCGGUACUAAACUACCAAACUUGACAAAAGUAUACCAAAAUUUUUUAUCCUUCCCUGACUACAGAAAGUCGAGGCCGACUUUAGCCAAGUGGUCGGUAUUGCCGACGAGUUGACAUUUGUCUCACUAGUGAGAACUAUCGUGUGCCAGAUAUUGGCGUCAAGAGCAAGCUUCCUUUGAAUGCAGUGCCCCUGUCCGGUCUGUCGGCUCUGAUGGCCACCUACGUACCGAAGCAGGGUUAAAUGUCCAAGGCAACGUAUUAAAAGUCCCCCAACUCAACCUUAGCAAAAAUUAUGGUGUUCUCAAUUGAAUCUAAUAAAAAAUGUUUUUGUCGUGAAUAGGCCAAUAAUCUCAUCCAAAGUUGUAAACAAAAAAUUUUCACUGCUUCUCUAAAACUCAAGCGUAUUGAAUGAA